CCAGGUGUAGGUCCAGGGAUAGACCGUUGUAGCUGAAGGCUUAAAGCUAGAGGCUGUGAAGCUGUUAUCCACUCCUUUCCCUGCACACACAGUAAUAGAGGGAGAGGUAGAUGGCAAUCACUCUACUCUCAAUACCAACAUCUCCUCAAACCCUUUUCUCCCAUCGCCUUUAUGCUAAUACCAACACAUGUUUACAUGGCUCAGCAGCUCUCCUUAGAUACCCAUCUAAGUCCUUCAUUCCUCUCUCUUCUUCUUCUUCUUCUUUAACUUCUGCUGCAGAAGAUAAUCCUCCGCCGCCUUCACCAGAUCCUCUUGUUCUCCAGUCAGAAUCUGCAACCGUUGACGCUGACGAGCCUCCUGUCGGGGGUUGUAAGGCCUGUGGGAGGCAGGAAAUUGAGAAGGGCUGCAAUGGAGAAGGAAGGAUUCAAGGUGGGAUUGCAACAGUUCCAGGGUUUGGUUGGUGGCCGAUAAAGGCUUACAGACCAUGUCCUAGAUUUGUAGCAUCUGGUGGCAGGUAUAGGCGGCAAGGGCAAAGCAUGGACGAAGUUGCCUUUGGGAGGGGGGAGAAAGGAACUCCUAUAGGAAGCAGCACUGAGGUCGAGUACAGACCAAUAAGACCUAGAUGCUAGAUAUGAUGUUGACCUUGAACUUCUGUUUGAUGCUAUAGAAUAAGGCACCAAAUUUUCAGUUUAUGCAGAUAAUGAAAAGGUUGGAUAGCACAAAGGACUGUAACAAAAGGGGAGAUCCAAGGAGAUUUAAGAGGUGAUCUUAGUGGAACGAGAUGUGCUAAUCUCUAAGCUCAACUGAUAAACAUGAGUUUGUUGAUUAAGUAGCUUCAAUUAGACACUGCUAUCUAAAAAAGUUGAGUUACUUGUUGAUGUUCAGAUCUCUAGGUCCAUGUUUGUCAUUCGUUUUUAUUUCCAUAUUGGUUAACAAACUUACACACAGGAUGGUUGGAAGUUCACCAUAACCGACUGUAUACCAUAACUCAUUUAUUAAAUUAAAAUUUAUGCUAUAGAAUAUAACUUUUCAUUGUCUAGUUUGGA